CCUACGGGAGGCAGCAGUGGGGAAUCUUGCGCAAUGGGCGAAAGCCUGACGCAGCAACGCCGCGUGCGGGAUGAAGGCCUUCGGGCUGUAAACCGCUUUCAGCAGGAACGAAAAUGACGGUACCUGCAGAAGAAGGAGCGGCCAACUACGUGCCAGCAGCCGCGGUGACACGUAGGCUCCAAGCGUUGUCCGGAUUUAUUGGGCGUAAAGAGCUCGUAGGCGGUUGAGUAAGUCGGGUGUGAAAACUCUGGGCUUAACCCGGAGACGCCAUCCGAUACUGCUCUGACUUGAGUUCAGGAGGGGAGUGGGGAAUUCCUAGUGUAGCGGUGAAAUGCGCAGAUAUUAGGAGGAACACCGGUGGCGAAGGCGCCACUCUGGACUGAAACUGACGCUGAGGAGCGAAAGCAUGGGUAGCAAACAGGAUUAGAUACCCUGGUAGUCCAUGCCGUAGACGGUGGGCACUAGGUGUGGGUUCCAACUAACGGGAUCCGCGCCGUCGCUAACGCAUUAAGUGCCCCGCCUGGGGAGUACGGUCGCAAGACUAAAACUCAAAGGAAUUGACGG
rnacentral:rRNA from 1 species